AGAGUUUGAUCCUGGCUCAGGACGAACGCUGGCGGCGCGCCUAACACAUGCAAGUCGAACGAGCGAGAGAGAGCUUGCUUUCUCGAGCGAGUGGCGAACGGGUGAGUAACGCGUGAGGAACCUGCCUCAAAGAGGGGGACAACAGUUGGAAACGACUGCUAAUACCGCAUAAGCCCACAGGUCGGCAUCGACCAGAGGGAAAAGGAGCAAUCCGCUUUGAGAUGGCCUCGCGUCCGAUUAGCUAGUUGGUGAGGUAACGGCCCACCAAGGCGACGAUCGGUAGCCGGACUGAGAGGUUGAACGGCCACAUUGGGACUGAGACACGGCCCAGACUCCUACGGGAGGCAGCAGUGGGGAAUAUUGCACAAUGGGGGAAACCCUGAUGCAGCGACGCCGCGUGGAGGAAGAAGGUCUUCGGAUUGUAAACUCCUGUUGUUGAGGAAGAUAAUGACGGUACUCAACAAGGAAGUGACGGCUAACUACGUGCCAGCAGCCGCGGUAAAACGUAGGUCACAAGCGUUGUCCGGAAUUACUGGGUGUAAAGGGAGCGCAGGCGGGAAGACAAGUUGGAAGUGAAAUCUAUGGGCUCAACCCAUAAACUGCUUUCAAAACUGUUUUUCUUGAGUAGUGCAGAGGUAGGCGGAAUUCCCGGUGUAGCGGUGGAAUGCGUAGAUAUCGGGAGGAACACCAGUGGCGAAGGCGGCCUACUGGGCACCAACUGACGCUGAGGCUCGAAAGUGUGGGUAGCAAACAGGAUUAGAUACCCUGGUAGUCCACACCGUAAACGAUGAUUACUAGGUGUUGGAGGAUUGACCCCUUCAGUGCCGCAGUUAACACAAUAAGUAAUCCACCUGGGGAGUACGACCGCAAGGUUGAAACUCAAAGGAAUUGACGGGGGCCCGCACAAGCAGUGGAGUAUGUGGUUUAAUUCGACGCAACGCGAAGAACCUUACCAAGUCUUGACAU
rnacentral:rRNA from 1 species